GGCUCAGGAUUAACGCUGGCGGCAUGCCUAAUACAUGCAAAUCGAACGAGGUUAGUUUACUAACCUAGUGGUGAACGGGUGAGUAACAAGUAUCCAAUCUGCCCUUAAGAUGGGAAUAACUGACCGAAAGGUUAGCUAAUGCCCAAUAAUAACAUUCUUAUCGCAUGAGAAAAUGUAGAAAGACGCCUUUAAAGCGUCGCUUUUGGAUGAGGGUGCUCCGUAUCAGAUAGUUGGUAGGGUAAAAGCCUACCAAGUCUAUGACGCGUAGCUGUACUGAGAGGUAGAACAGCCACAAUGGGACUGAGACACGGCCCAUACUCCUACGGGAGGCAGCAGUAGGGAAUUUUUCACAAUGGGCGCAAGCCUUAUGAAGCAAUGCCGCGUGAACGACGAAGGUCUUAUAGAUUGUAAAGUUCUUUUAUUUGGGAAGAAACGUUAUGAUAGGAAAUGAUUAUAACUUGACUGUACCUUUUGAAUAAGUAUCGGCUAACUAUGUGCCAGCAGCCGCGGUAAUACAUAGGAUGCAAGCGUUAUCCGGAUUUACUGGGCGUAAAACGAGCGCAGGCGGAUCUGCAAGUUUGGUAUUAAAUCUAUGUGCUCAACGCAUAGCUGUAUCAAAAACUGCAAAUCUAGAGUGUAGUAGAGAGUUGGGGAACUCCAUGUGGAGCGGUAAAAUGCGUAGAUAUAUGGAAGAACACCGGCGGCGAAGGCGCCAACUUAGACUAACACUGACGCUUAGGCUCGAAAGUGUGGGGAUCAAAUAGGAUUAGAUACCCUAGUAGUCCACACUGUAAACGAUCAUCAUUAAAUGUCGGCACGAACGUGUCGGUGUUGUAGCUAACGCAUUAAAUGAUGUGCCUGGGUAGUACAUUCGCAAGAAUGAAACUCAAACGGAAUUGACGGGGACCCGCACAAGUGGUGGAGCAUGUUGCUUAAUUUGACAAUACACGUAAAACCUUACCUAGGUUUGACAUCGAUUGCAAAGCUAUAGAAAUAUAGUAGAGGUUAACAAUCUGACAGGUGGUGCAUGGUUGUCGUCAGCUCGUGUCGUGAGAUGUUGGGUUAAGUCCCGCAACGAGCGCAACCCCUUUCGUUAGUUAUUUUUUAACGAUACUGCUACUGCAAAGUAGAGGAAGGUGGGGAUGACGUCAAAUCAUCAUGCCCCUUAUAUCUAGGGCUGCAAACGUGCUACAAUGGUUGAGACAAACUGCUGCAAAACUGUAAAGUCAAGCAAAUCAGACAAAAUCAAUCUCAGUUCGGAUAGAGGGCUGCAAUUCGCCCUCUUGAAGUUGGAAUCACUAGUAAUCGCGAAUCAGACAUGUCGCGGUGAAUACGUUCUCGGGUCUUGUACACACCGCCCGUCAAACUAUGGGAGCUGAUAAUAUCUGAAACCGUACUGUUAACCGCAAGGAGGCAUACGUCUAGGGUAGGAUUGGUGACUGGAGUUAAGUCGUAACAAGGUAUCCCUACGAGAACGUGGGGAUGGAUCACCUCCUUUCUUCGGAGUAAUUUAUUAAAUUACACAAUCAAGUGUACGAAAUCACAAACAAAUCCAUAAUGAUUUGCCGCAAUUUAUUUUUUUAUAAAUCGUUAUGGUCGGAUUCUAUUUAGUUUUGAGAGAUUAUUCUCUCCAUAUAUCGACUGAUAUAUGUGGUCGAUCUUUGAAAACUGAAUUAUUAUCAACAAUCUUUCUAAUGAUUAGAUAUGCAAAUAUCUAGUCAACAGAAAUUAUAUUAAUUUAAUUAAUAUAGUUAACAAUCAUAUUAAAGAUACAACUUUAAGGAUUUAUUAUAAGUUAUUAAGGGCUUAUGGUGAAUGCCUUGGGACAAACAGGCGAUGAAGGACGUGCAAAUCUGCGAUAAGCGACGGGAAGCUGAUAAGAAGCUGUGAUCCGUUGAUUUCCGAAUGAGUAAACUCAAUAUAAGUAAUUUUAUAUUAUUACAUUAUGAAUUCAUAGUAAUGUAAGGCAAUACCUGGUGAAGUGAAACAUCUCAGUAACCAGAGGAAAAGAGAACGAAUGUUAUUCCGGUAGUAGCGGCGAGCGAAUCCGGAUCAGGCCAAACCGAAUCUUGAUUCGGGGUUGUAGGACUGCAACGUGGACUAAUUAUUGAUAGUGGAAUGAGUUGGGAAGCUCAAUCACAGAGGGUGAUAAUCCCGUACACGAAAUCAAUAAUUUACCUAGCAGUAUCCUGAGUAGGGCGGGACACGUGAAAUCCUGUCUGAAUCCACCCAGACCAUUGGGUAAGCCUAAAUACUAGUUUGUCACCGAUAGCGCAUAGUACCGUGAGGGAAA
rnacentral:rRNA from 1 species